rnacentral:rRNA from 1 species
UACGUAGGGACCGAGCGUUGUCCGGAAUCAUUGGGCGUAAAGAGCGUGUAGGCGGCCUGUUAAGUCUUGCGUGAAAUCUCGGGGCUCAACCCCGAGCGGUCGUGAGAAACUGGCAGGCUAGAGUGCGGGAGAGGAGAGUGGAAUUCCUGGUGUAGCGGUGAAAUGCGCAGAUAUCAGGAAGAACACCGAUGGCGAAGGCAGGUCUCUGGGCCACUACUGACGCUGAGAAGCGAAAGCAUGGGGAGCGAACAGG